GUCAUAUCUUCGAAAAUCAGGAUUAGGGGGUCGGGCGCCGUGGCUCACGCUCGUAAUCCCAGCACUUUGGGAGACCGAGGUGGGCGGAUCACAAGGUCAGGAGUUCACAGACCAGCCUGCCCAACAUGGUGAAACCCCAUCUCUACUAAAAAUACAAAAAUUAGCUGGGCAUGGUGGCGCGUGCCUGUAAUUCCCACUACUUGGGAGGCUGAGGCAGGAGAAUCGCUUGAACCCAGCAGGCGGAAGUUGGAGUGAGCCGAGACCGCGCCACUGCACUCCAGCCUGGCGAGAAAGCGAGACUCCGUCUCAAAAAAAAAUAAUCAGGACUAGGGAGGCCCUAAAUCGACCGUUUUCACUGCGUCAUGUGAACCAUUCAAGGCCUGAAUGUCGGAUUUUCCUAUUGCUGCAUGUGAACCAAUUCUGCUUGAAGCGCCAAAAUGAAGCAGGGAUUAUACAACAGGGGGGUGCCUGAAGAAUGCUAAGUUCUGUACAUCAGAAACUUGAGCCAGGAAGUCUUGACAAGACGCUAGUAACUUCAUGAAAGUUAAAUGAAGUUUAUCCAUCAAUAGAUCCAUCUGUCGAUAGAUAGGGUAUUAACCAUUUUUUCAAAAAUGUAACUACAACUAUUCCAUUUUCCUUUCUCCAAAGUACCCUCAAAGAGAGCAGUAAUGGACAAAAUUUUGCUGUGUUGUUCAUGUUAUGGUGAUGUCUAUAUCAUACUUAGCACUGUUUCGUAGUAGAGAGAUGAGACUAUGAGACUGAAAUGUACUCACUUAUUGUUGGAAACCACUAGUCUAAAUUGUGGAGAAAGCAAGCAGAGUUCUUAGGACUGAGGAAGAGAUCAGAAUUUUCUGGUUUCCUAUUAGGUCUUCAGUUUGAGGCAUCAGUCCCUGUGUAGUAAUAAUAAUCAUUGAUACCAUUUGUUAAACAUGCAUAUGUGCCAAGGACUGUGCUAAAGAUUUUAUAAAUUAUUCACUGAGAAUUUAGUGUGUCAUCUACAACAGUAGAUCUUCAUAGAAAUGCAAGGCAAGUGUAAUAAGAGUAAGGUUUUAAGAAGCUUACAAUCUACUUGAAGUAGAGAAGGGCAAUGCACAGGAGAUAACUAGAAAAAUAUUUGAAAUAUGAAAUAGAAAAUCCAAGUGCAGCAGAAAUGGGAAGUAGGAUUGGUAGGCUAUUUCAUGGAAAUCCUCCAAAGUGAAGAAGGACUUUAAACUUGGGAUACGAACUUACUAGCACAAUGAUUAAGCAGAGCUCAGAGUUUUCAACUAAAAAGACCUGUGUUCAGGCCUCAGCUCUACCAUUUUGUGUUUGGUGUUACUGACUUUGGGCAGUUAAUCUAAAUCCUAAUUUCCUUAUCUGUAAAAUGGAGAUAAAAAUACUAUCUCAUUUAGUUCAUGUGAGCACUAAGUAAGGCUUUAUAUAAGGGAGUGGCAUGUCAUACAUUCAGUGUGCAAAAAUACUUGGAAAAUGGAACAAUGCAUGAACUCACGAAUAAAAUAUUUAAUUAACAAUGAUCUUGCAAAGACAUGCAGUACAGAUUUGAGAAGGGAAGACGUUUGAGCCAGAAUUAUUCCCCAGCCAGCCACUUUGUUGCAUUUUUCCAGGAAUUAGGUGAUAAAAGUCUGAACUAGGCUUACAGUCAAUGAAAUAGAGUAAAGGACAUCCCCAGCAUCAGGGGAAGAAUAAAAGUACUCUAAAAUUUCUGGUCAAGGAAAUUAGAAAGAAGUUGGUAUUACCAAUAAAAACGGAGAAGUUGGCCAGUCGCAGGGCCUCACGCCUGUAAUUCCAGCAUUUUGGGAGGCUGAGGUAGGCAGAUCACCUGAGGCCGGGAGUUUGAGACCAGCCUGGCCAACAUGACGAAAACCCAUCUCUUCUAAAAAUACAAAAACUUAGCUGGGCAUGGUGGUGGGCACCUGUAAUCCCAGCUACUUGGGAGGCUGAGGCAGGAGAAUCGCUUGAACUCAGGAGGCAAAGGCUGCAGUGAGCCAAGAUUGCACCAUUGCACUCCAGCCUAGGCAACAAGAGGGAAACUCCCUCUCAAAUUAAUUAAUUAAUUAAUUAAACGGAGAAGUUGGAAAGAGAUGUGGGUAUGUGAAGUUGAGUCUGAAGAAAAACUAGACAAUUAAAAAUGUAAAUAGGCAUUUAAAAAUAAGAAACUGGAAUUUGACAGAAAGGUUAAGACCAGAAGCCUAAGUUAUGGGAUAAUUGAAAUACUCAUUUGUUCAUUCAGUAAUCAUUUUCUUAACAUUACGAUAUGCUGUGCACUGCAUUAUAAACUAUGCAUACAGGAAGAUAAACACAGUCCCUACCCUUAUGGAGUUAACAGUUCAGUAGAACAGACAAGUUGAAAACAAGCAGAAGGUACUAUAGUAGAGAAAUGUACCAUGUAAAUGCAAGAAUGUAUGAAAUGGGAAAACUAAAGACAGAGAAGAUACUUGGAAAAUUAAGGAAAAUGUACUAUAAGAGAUAUAUCGUGGCUAUAAGAGUAAUUAUAGCCAUAAGGCUCACUCAAGUGUCUUGAGGGGCUGACACUAAAUGUAUUUAUCAAUAUAAUACUAACUGGCCCUGGAGAUUUCCACCCCUGGCCCAGUGAUUUCCAGGAGACCAGGCCACUUCAGCACAGAUGCAACUUUCAUGAACCUUAAAGCUUACCCUUGUAAGAAUAGCUUCGACUCCAUUUAUGAGAGAAACAUCUGAUAACUGACCAAGCUGAAUACAGGUUUUAAAAAGGGGGAAGAAACCCCCAACACUGAGAACAGUCUCUGGUUGGAGGCUCUCUUGAUCAUCCGAGCCCUGACUAUCUGGUCUAUACCCCCAGCCUCUUCCCACUAUCUUUUAAGAGCGAUGCCAGAAUAAACUACUAAAGCAUGAGACAGUCUCUAAGACUCAUCUUUGACUUGAAUAGAACUGAAUGGGAGAAGUCACCUCUAGGAAAGCUGGUUAAACAGGACCACCCAACCACUGCCUCACUGACAAUGACAAAAGGCUUUACAAUGCGUGUGAUACUUGAGCUGGACUUUUAAAGAGAACCAUGAAUUUGUUAAUCUGAGAAAACAGGAGACCUUCACAGGGGAUAAUAAAUAAGAUCAUUGUAAUUUCCUGCUUAAUUAUUUAUAAACUCUAAAUAUUUGUAAGCACACUUAGAAUAAAAUUCAGACUCCCUGCUUUGGCUUUCAACAGUCUACCUGAUCUGGCCACUACUUACCUCUCCAGUUUCUAUCUCCUACCGUCUUCCCCACCCUUGUUUCACAUGAGCACUGGUCUUGAUCUCCCUUCAACUCACCAAGUUAAUUCUUCACGUGUGACAUUUUCACUUUUCUGUUCUCUCUUCUCUUCAUAUUAACGUGGCCUUUUUACUCAUUUAUGGUUCUACUCAAACACUACACCUAAGAGAGAGCUUUCCAGACCACCCAAUCUAAGUGCACCCCUCAAUACCAAUCACUUCCUAG
rnacentral:lncRNA from 10 species